AUUAUGUAAAGUAGACUAGGUUAUAAUGUAUAAUAGUGGGUUGUUAGUGAUAUGUAGAUGUUAUAUUAUGUAAAGUAGACUAGGUUAUAAUGUAUAAUAGUGGGUUGUUAGUGAUGUGUAGAUGUUAUAUUAUGUAAAGUAGACUAGGUUAUAAUGUAUAGUAGUGGGUUGUUAGUGAUAUGUUAUAUUAUGUAAAGUAGACUAGGUUAUAAUGUAUAGUAGUGGGUUGUUAGUGAUAUGUUAUAUUAUGUAAAGUAGACUAGGUUAUAAUGUAUAGUAGUGGGCUGUUAGUGAUAUGUAGAUAUUAUAUUAUGUAAAGUAGACUAGGUUAUAAUGUAUAGUAGUGGGUUGUUAGUGAUAUGUUAUAUUAUGUAAAGUAGACUAGGUUAUAAUGUAUAGUAGUGGGUUGUUGGUGAUAUAUAGAUGUUAUAUUAUGAAAAGAAUAUUAGGUUGUAAUGUAUAGUAGUGGGUUGUUAGUGAUAUGUUAUAUUAUGUAAAGUAGACUAGGUUAUAAUGUAUAGUAGUGGGUUGUUAGUGAUAUGUUAUAUUAUGUAAAGUUGACUAGGUUAUAAUGUAUAGUAGUGGGUUGUUAGUGAUAUGUAGAUGUUAUAUUAUGUAAAGUAGACUAGGUUAUAAUGUAUAGUAGUGGGUUGUUAGUGAUAUGCAGAUCAAGGUCUAUACCUCAGCUAUAGCCUACAUAUCAUAGAUGACCAGCCUAAACCUGUUCAGAUCAGUUCACAUAAUGUUAUAGUCCUACCAGUAGCAGGACAGAGAAUGUACUGUAUAUAACCUACAUAUCAUAGAUGACCAGUCUAAACCUGUUCAGAUCAGUUCACAUAAUGUUAUAGUCCUACCAGUAGCAGGACAGAGAAUGUACUGUAUAUAACCUACAUAUC
ensembl:lncRNA